rnacentral:misc_RNA from 1 species
AUUUCUAGCUUCUAAUAAAUUGGAAUUGGAAUUGCACUGAAUGACCAAUUUUCCUGCAUGUUUGGUUUGAUGUGUAAUGUGUAAUUGGAAUAUUAUUCCUUUUGUGAUUAUUUGGUUUAUUUAAAAAUAGAAAUCAGGUUUAAUAUGAAAUUUGCGUAGUGUAAAUGUUUUGAUCAUGACAAUCUAAGAUGUAAUCAUUUAUCAUUUCUUAA